CACUGGUCGAGUCGGCCUGCGCGGAAGAUGUAACGGGGCUAAACCAUGCACCGAAGCUGCGGCAGCGAACGUAUCACCCAAGACAACUUUACGGAGUUGACGAUUGACGGAGCGAAGCGACGUCAAAGCGUUCAUUAAAGUCGAGUUGGCUUAGGGAUACGUUCGUUGGGUAGGGGAGCGUUCUGUAAGCCUGUGAAGGUGUGUCGUGAGGCAUGCUGGAGGUAUCAGAAGUGCGAAUGCUGACAUAAGUAACGAUAAAGCGGGUGAAAAGCCCGCUCGCCGGAAGACCAAGGGUUCCUGUCCAACGUUAAUCGGGGCAGGGUGAGUCGACCCCUAAGGCGAGGCCGAAAGGCGUAGUCGAUGGGAAACGGGUUAAUAUUCCCGUACUUGGUGUUACUGCGAAGGGGGGACGGAGAAGGCUAUGUUGGCCGGGCGACGGUUGUCCCGGUUUAAGCGUGUAGGUGUGUGUUCCAGGUAAAUCCGGUUCACUUUAACACUGAGGCGUGACGACGAGGCACUACGGUGCUGAAGCAACAAAUGCCCUGCUUCCAGGAAAAGCCUCUAAGCAUCAGGUAACACGAAAUCGUACCCCAAACCGACACAGGUGGUCAGGUAGAGAAUACCAAGGCGCUUGAGAGAACUCGGGUGAAGGAACUAGGCAAAAUGGUGCCGUAACUUCGGGAGAAGGCACGCUGACACGUAGGUGAAGUGAUUUACUCAUGGAGCUGAAGUCAGUCGAAGAUACCAGCUGGCUGCAACUGUUUAUUAAAAACACAGCACUGUGCAAACACGAAAGUGGACGUAUACGGUGUGACGCCUGCCCGGUGCCGGAAGGUUAAUUGAUGGGGUCAGCGUAAGCGAAGCUCCUGAUCGAAGCCCCGGUAAACGGCGGCCGUAACUAUAACGGUCCUAAGGUAGCGAAAUUCCUUGUCGGGUAAGUUCCGACCUGCACGAAUGGCGUAAUGAUGGCCAGGCUGUCUCCACCCGAGACUCAGUGAAAUUGAACUCGCUGUGAAGAUGCAGUGUACCCGCGGCAAGACGGAAAGACCCCGUGAACCUUUACUAUAGCUUGACACUGAACAUUGAGCCUUGAUGUGUAGGAUAGGUGGGAGGCUUUGAAGUGUGGACGCCAGUCUGCAUGGAGCCGACCUUGAAAUACCACCCUUUAAUGUUUGAUGUUCUAACGUGGACCCGUAAUCCGGGUUGCGGACAGUGUCUGGUGGGUAGUUUGACUGGGGCGGUCUCCUCCUAAAGAGUAACGGAGGAGCACGAAGGUUGGCUAAUCCUGGUCGGACAUCAGGAGGUUAGUGCAAUGGCAUAAGCCAGCUUGACUGCGAGCGUGACGGCGCGAGCAGGUGCGAAAGCAGGUCAUAGUGAUCCGGUGGUUCUGAAUGGAAGGGCCAUCGCUCAACGGAUAAAAGGUACUCCGGGGAUAACAGGCUGAUACCGCCCAAGAGUUCAUAUCGACGGCGGUGUUUGGCACCUCGAUGUCGGCUCAUCACAUCCUGGGGCUGAAGUAGGUCCCAAGGGUAUGGCUGUUCGCCAUUUAAAGUGGUACGCGAGCUGGGUUUAGAACGUCGUGAGACAGUUCGGUCCCUAUCUGCCGUGGGCGCUGGAGAACUGAGGGGGGCUGCUCCUAGUACGAGAGGACCGGAGUGGACGCAUCACUGGUGUUCGGGUUGUCAUGCCAAUGGCACUGCCCGGUAGCUAAAUGCGGAAGAGAUAAGUGCUGAAAGCAUCUAAGCACGAAACUUGCCCCGAGAUGAGUUCUCCCUGAGACUUAGAGUCUCCUGAAGGAACGUUGAAGACGACGACGUUGAUAGGCCGGGUGUGUAAGCGCAGCGAUGCGUUGAGCUAACCGGUACUAAUGAACCGUGAGGCUUAACCUU
rnacentral:rRNA from 1 species